AUGUCUUACAGAACACCGAUUGAGACAACCACCCAUGGACAAGGGAGACUUUCUGGAAACCCAGAGAUCCAUUGGGGAAGUUCCAGCACUUUGUUAGAACAAAACAAACCAACGACAAAACAAAACAACAACAACAACAAAAACAAGAUGAAGGCACAGAAACAGCUAGUUACUGAAGAGUACAGGGGGUGACUUCUUCCUCAACUGUGAAAUCAACAAUGUAAGACCUCAAGGAACAUGAAAAC
rnacentral:lncRNA from 1 species